AUGUCUAUAAAUGAAUUUUCUCAUUAUUCGUUAUUUUCGGGUCUUUUCGUUGCAUUCACUUACAACAAGAAACAACCACCAGUGUUUGGUGCAGCACUUGCAUUUUGGUGCAUUCUUCUUCCUUUCCUUGGUCUUUCGUUCCGUCAUAUUCCAAAUAACUUAUGUAAUUACAACGUAUUAACCGCUAAUGCACCUUUUUUUAUCAAAUCUCAGGGACAUGGUCUAAUCAUGAGGGUAGUAUUUUAUCAUGGUGUUGGAUCCCAAGUUUUUAUGGAUUCCUUUUUUGUUAUCGGGGUCGACCCCAAAGCCAUAAUGUCUCAAAACGCAGAGCCUUUUUAA
rnacentral:rRNA from 1 species